UGCGCUAGAUGGUGCUGGCAACAGCUUUGCGCUAGAUGGUGCUGGCAACAGCUUUGCGCUAGAUGGUGCUGGCAACAGCCUUACACUACGCGUUGGUUAACCGCUUAAGUGUAUCUGUGGGUAGUUUACAUUUUCUUUUUCUGACGGUGCACGCUGAAGGUCUUCUCAUAUUAGGUAUCCGUUUGUGGUUCAACAGAAGUUUAAUGGAAAAGCUUUGAAGUGAAUCAUAGGCUAUUAAGUAAAAGAAAUUGCGUAAUGAGUGGCGGAUGUGGCGUUCGCUUUCCACAAAGUUUGAUGAAAGGUCUUGCUGUGAGUACCCACCCAAUUAUCGUUUUUACGAUGAGUCUAAGCGGUGCUAUCUUGUCUCCAUGGGGUGGGAGACUGGUAUGACGAAUUCAGGCCAGUGCCCAUUGAAUAACUGGCAUGGCGUGUGUCAAUGCGGCGAUCAUAGUCUGCUCUUAUUCAAGGAAGACGACAGGUGCCACCGUAUCUAUGCCAUUUUUUUUCUUAUCUAGGUCUUUCAAUGGCAAGCGGUAUGCCGUUGAUGUUCGUCAUAUAAAAACACUUGGAUGGGAAGCCGCGUAAACAAUACAUUCAGGAAGCUGUGACAUGUGAUGAAAAGGAACUGCUUAAGUGGAUCGUCUGUGGGGAAUGCUUUAACAAUUUUGAUAAAGUUGUCCUCCAGAGAACUACAUAGCUAUCAAAAUCUCAAACAAUGUAUGUAAGGACAGUUAUGGCAUAAUGGUAGCAUGCUGUACUACAAUGUGAAAGGUCUGUGGUUCGAAUCCCAUAAUGGUUAAUAUUGCUUGGCGCGGUCGUCCCAGAAAAUAUCUGGAACGCUGGCGUGGUCGUCCCAGAAAAAAUCUGGGAUGCCCCCGAUCGUCGAGAAGGAAGAAUUUUUCCUUUUUUGCCAUUUUUCGUUAUUUCGACAAAUAAACAUGUGCUGUGAAGAAAAAUACGCGCCUGGCGAAUCCGAGUAUUGAACCCUAGUCCUUUCUCGAGGAAUCCAUCAAUCUUAUAUUCCAAAUUUUUCUUGUUGCAUGCAGCCAAAACCAAUUUAGGCUAUUGUUUACAUAAAGUUGUUUACAUCAAUUUAAAGAAGUAAACAUUACAUUUCCACCUUCUGAGCCACAUUUCCAAUGUUUUGUAGUUCUGAUCCUUCUGUAAGAAAAAACUUGUUUCUCUGCUAAUAUGCUAGAAUUCUACUAUACCAAUUCCCGAACAGGCUGACAGGUUGUGGUUAGA